rnacentral:rRNA from 1 species
UUAUUUGAGAGUUUGAUCCUGGCUCAGGAUGAACGCUGGCGGCGUGCCUAACACAUGCAAGUUGAGCGAUUUACUUCGGUAAAGAGCGGCGGACGGGUGAGUAACGCGUGGGUAACCUACCCUGUACACACGGAUAACAUACCGAAAGGUAUGCUAAUACGGGAUAAUAUAUUUGAGAGGCAUCUCUUGAAUAUCAAAGGUGAGCCAGUACAGGAUGGACCCGCGUCUGAUUAGUUAGUUGGUAAGGUAACGGCUUACCAAGGCGACGAUCAGUAGCCGACCUGAGAGGGUGAUCGGCCACAUUGGAACUGAGACACGGUCCAAACUCCUACGGGAGGCAGCAGUGGGGAAUAUUGCACAAUGGGCGAAAGCCUGAUGCAGCAACGCCGCGUGAGUGAUGAAGGCCUUCGGGUCGUAAAACUCUGUCCUCAAGGAAGAUAAUGACGGUACUUGAGGAGGAAGCCCCGGCUAACUACGUGCCAGCAGCCGCGGUAAUACGUAGGGGGCUAGCGUUAUCCGGAUU